rnacentral:rRNA from 1 species
UAACACGUGAGCAACCUGCCUCUCAGAGGGGGAUAACGUUUGGAAACGAACGCUAAUACCGCAUGAAAUAUUGGUAUCGCAUGGUGCUGAUAUCAAAGGAGCAAUCCGCUGAGAGAUGGGCUCGCGUCCGAUUAGAUAGUUGGCGGGGUAACGGCCCACCAAGUCGGCGAUCGGUAGCCGGACUGAGAGGUUGAACGGCCACAUUGGGACUGAGACACGGCCCAGACUCCUACGGAAGGCAGCAG